UACUUCAAGAGUAUCUCCCCCCAUACCCCAAAUACGCAUCAAGAAAAGACUUAUUCGGAUAAUAUUUUGCCUUGAGAACCCGAUUGAGCAAAGAGUUCUCAUUAUGCACUAAACGCCACGCUUGCUUACCAAGGAGGGCGUCAUUAAAGAUCGCAAGAUCUUUAAAUCCCAUUCCCCCUAAACACUUGGGUGAGCACAUAUCAUCCCAGGACUUCCAGUGAACUUUGCGAGCAUCCCCCUUUCCUCCCCAAAAGAACCUCGCCAUAACAGACCGGAUUGACUGUAAAAUAGAACAAGGGAAUUUAUAAACCCCCAUCAAGUAAAUAGUGUUCAUCACCUUGAUAAACAACCCUUCGAUAUUAGCGGUUAGUCAUCAAAUAGAUCAAGUUGGGGCGCCCUCUUCACUCUCCAACUUACUUGAACCACCGACCUCAUUCUGUUUGGCUUCCAUGGUGCUCUUGUAAAGUCGUGAAGGAAAGCAGUAUCCUUAAAAUCCUAAUCAACAGAGAAAACUGUCAAUGAGAGAAAAAUCAGAAAUUUCAACUAUUUAUCUCAACUUUCGUGAUCCUAACCUAUAGAAAGAUUUGAAAGGGAAAAAUAGCAAUUUGUGAUAGCUUUGCUGAAGCCAUUAAACUCCUGAACAGAUAUCAAACUGCAUAGCUAAAUUGAAAGAGAGAGAAAAUGCGUAGAUUAUCAUUGUAUCUCUGCAAGAACAGUCUCCCUUCUUUAUUGGUACCCUCUGAAUCCUAUGCUGGAUUAACAUUUGCUGCCAAUUUCUCCAACAUUUCUUCCCCUUUUAAUAAAUUCCCUGUUCCUCAAAAUCAAUUACCCCAAUUCAAUCCUGAAUUUGUGAACCCGAAAAAUGGGUUUGGAUUGGUUCAUUUGGAUAGUGAUUCACAAAAUAGUAUUUCCCAUGAUCGUCAAUUUGAUGAAUUUGAGGCUGAUGUUGAAAAAAUCUAUCGAAUUUUGAGGAAGUUCCACUCUAGGGUUCCAAAAUUGGAGCUUGCUUUACAAGAAUCUGGUAUAAUUAUGCGUCUCGGGUUAACAGAACGGGUAUUAAACCGAUGUGGGGAUGCGGGGAAUUUAGCUUAUCAGUUCUUCACAUGGGCAUCGAAACAGCCUGGUUACAGGCAUAGUUAUGAUGUUUAUAAGGCCAUGGUUAGGACUCUAGCCAAAAUGAGGCAAUUCGGAACGGUUUGGGCAAUAAUAGAAGAAAUGAGGAGAGAGAGUCCGCGGUUAAUUACCCCGGAUGUGUUUGUUGUGUUGAUGAGAAGGUUUGCUUCUGCAAGGAUGGUUAAGAAGGCAGUUGAAGUGUUAGAUGAAAUGCCUAAAUACGGGUGUGAGCCUGACGAGUAUGUCUUUGGGUGUUUGUUGGAUGCGUUGGCUAAGAAUGGUAGUGUCAAGGAGGCAGCCUCACUUUUUGAGGAUAUGAGGAUGAGGUUUACACCAAGCCUCAAGCAUUUUACUUCCUUGCUGUAUGGAUGGUGUAAAGAAGGGAAACUGUUGGAAGCAAAGCAUGUCUUGGUCCAAAUGAGGGAGGCUGGGUUUGAACCAGAUAUAGUAGUCUACAAUAAUUUGCUUAACGGGUAUGCAGUGGCUGGGAAGAUGGCUGAUGCUUAUGAUCUUUUGAAAGAAAUGAGGAGGAAGGGUUGUGAGCCAAAUGCAGCAUCUUACACAGUAUUGAUCCAGGCGCUUUGUUCCAUGGAGAAAACCGAGGAAGCAAUGCGAGUCUUUUAUGACAUGGAGAAAAGUGGUUGUGAUGCUGAUCUCAUAACCUAUAAUGCCUUGAUUAGUGGACUAUGCAAGUGCAGAAAAAUUGAUAAAGCCUAUGAGCUUCUAGACACUAUGCUUCAGCGAGGCCACACCCCUGAUCAAACUACUUAUCUGCAUAUACUUUUGGCUCAUGAGAAGAAGGAGCAAUUUGAAGAGUGUAAGGAGCUUGUGGAUGAGAUGAAAAAGAUCGGUUGCUUUCCAGAUACUAAAAUAUACAAUACCUUGAUCCGUUUGGCAUACAAGUUGGGGGAGGUAAAAGAAGGAAUUGAACUUUGGAAUGAGAUGGAAGCAAGUAGCCUUAGUCCCGGCAAAGAUAGCUUCACUAUAAUGAUUCAUGGUCUUGUUGAGCAGGAUUGUCUAGUCGAAGCUUCUGACUAUUUCAAGGAAAUGAUUAACAGAGGGCUUUUAUCUGCUCCCCAGUAUGGUACUUUUAAGGACCUACUGAACUCCCUUUUACGAGCUGAAAAGCUUGAAUUAGCUAAAGAUGUGUGGGAUUGUAUCAUCGUAAAAGGAUGUGAGUUGAAUGUCUAUGCAUGGACAAUCUGGAUCCAUGCACUCUUCUCAAAGGGGCAUGUGAAAGAGGCAUGUUCUUAUUGCUUGGAAAUGAUGGAUGCAGAUGUGAUGCCAGAGCCCAGCACUUUUGCAAAAUUAAUGAAGGGCCUGAAAAAGUUGUAUAACAGACAAAUUGCUGCAGAAAUAACAGAAAAAGUGAGGAAGAUGGCAGCUGAUAGACAGAUUACCUUCAAAAUGUACAAAAGAAGGGGAGAGAGGGAUUUGAAGGAGAAAGAUAAAGCGAAAACUGAUGGAAGAAAGAGGAGGGCUCGUCGACGUCAGUGGGGCCAAGGUCGUAGUAAAGCUGACAUUGUUAUUUGAUGAAUUGUGUGUGAGCUUUAAAAGCUAACCUUAGAUGGAGUUUGUAAAUUGGAAACAUGAGCCCAUAUCAGGUUUUUAUUUGCUGGGCAAUAUUGGAGAUUUGACAUUGCUUGGCUUGAGCAAUGGGAGGGACUUCUCAGGGUGCUUUACCUGUAUAGAAGGCUCUCUAUAUUGCAGAUCCUUAUGGAUGUAUCGCCUGUAUGCAUGUUUGGAGUUCUGAAUAAGUCUACUGUCCAAUUGAGGGAAUAAACUGCACUUCUUGUUAAUUGCCAUAAUCUGAUCAGAGCUGAUUUUGGGGGUUGUGCUGAUCUAGAUAACAUAGGUUUCUGUUCAUUAAGGAAGAAAUAGUAAGGUGCAGUCUACCUCAUUUCCAUGCAAGUCAACUAGAGUUUUCAAUUCAGCUCGCCGAAACAUUGCUUUGUGUCUCUUCCCCAACAAAAGGUCCAAUAGCUGGUAAAGGAGAGAAAAUGAGGAAAGAAUGUAUGUAGAUUCUGAAAUAUACCUGUUAUUUGGAAGGUAAAAAAAGGAGAAAAAUGGAGAGCAUAUUGAGUUAGUUCUAUCACCUUGCUUAUCGGAUAUGCAACAGGGAAACAAAUCCAGACAAGAACUCGAACAAGAGGGGCAACAGCAGCACCAAUUGCCAAACCAUACCGUGAGCAAACAGCUUGUGGGAUGAUCUGUAAUGCAAUAUAAUAUUAGUUUAAAUCCGUCUGGUUUCUAAUCUUGGUUAAUGAGUACUUCUAGUAUAUGCUAUAGGGAUCUCACCUCACCA